rnacentral:rRNA from 1 species
AUUGAACGCUGGCGGCAGGCCUAACACAUGCAAGUCGAACGAGUGGCGGACGGGUGAGUAAUAUCUCGGAAACUGCCUAAUGGAGGGGGAUAACUACUGGAAAGGGUGGCUAAUACCGCAUACCAUCGGAUGUGCCCAUAUGGGAUUAGCUAGUAGGUGGGGUAAAGGCUCACCUAGGCGACGAUCCCUAGCUGGGCUGAGAGGAUGACCAGCCAGACUGGAACUGAGACACGGUCCAGACUCCUACGGGAGGCAGCAGUGGGGAAUAUUGCACAAUGGGCGCAACCCUGAUCCAGCCAUCCCGCGUGUAUGAAGAAGGCCUUCGGGUUGUAAAGUACUUUCAGCGGGGAGGCGUUAUCUGCAGAAGAAGCACCGGCUAACUACGUGCCAGCAGCCGCGGUAAUAC